CUGGUCGGUGCUAAUCGUGGUCCUUGAAGAUAGGUUAUCCGUGUUGCCUUCGCUGUAUUCGUGACGAAUCAUACACGGUUCACCUAUUUUUCAGUACCAAUUCCCGCCUUGGACGCCU
rnacentral:pre_miRNA from 15 species